UCCCCUCCAUUCAUUAGAGGGAGCAGAAAUGAUCCUGUGGCUAAAUUUGGUGUCCUUACUAGCAGUCCUCAGAGGUGUGAAAUCUGAGGUUCAUUUGGUGGAAUCUGGAGGGGAUGUCAGAAGUCCUGGGCAGUCACUUGAUCUCUCCUGCCAAGCUUCUGGUUUCGACUUUGGUGGCUCCCAGAUGAACUGGGAGAGACAGGCUCCUGGGAAAGGACUGGAAUGGGUGGCAUACAUAAGCCCCAGCUCUGGUACUAUUUACUACUCAGACAAAGCAAAGGGACGCUUCACCAUCUCCAGGGACAAUGCCAAAAGCCAGCUGUAUCUGCAAAUGAACAGCCUCAAAGCCGAAGACACAGCAGUCUAUUACUGUGCGAGAGGCACAGUGGAAGGAAGUGAAUUGGAAGCCAGACAAGAAUCUUUUCUUCAUCUCAAUUUUUUUCAGAAGGUAGAAUUUGUGUGUUUAAAGGGACAAGCAGCUAAAUCUCCGUGA